rnacentral:rRNA from 1 species
AGAGUUUGAUCAUGGCUCAGAACGAACGCUGGCGGCGUGCCUAACACAUGCAAGUCGAACGCGAAAGGGGGCAACCCCCGGUAGCGUGGCAGACGGGUGAGUAACACGUGGGUAACCUACCCGGAGGUGGGGGAUAACCCCUCGAAAGGAGGGCUAAUACCGCAUGACAUCGUGGAGGCUUCGGUCUUCGCGAUCAAAGCUGGCCUCUGUUUACAAGCUAGCGCCACUGGAGGGGCCCGCGCCCCAUUAGCUAGUUGGUGAGGUAACGACUCACCAAGGCUACGAUGGGUAGCCGGCCUGAGAGGGCGAUCGGCCACACUGGAACUGAGACACGGUCCAGACUCCUACGGGAGGCAGCAGUGAGGAAUCUUGCGCAAUGGGCGAAAGCCUGACGCAGCGACGCCGCGUGGAGGAUGAAGGUCUUCGGAUUGUAAACUCCUGUCGAGUGGGACGAAUGCCAUGAGGGCGAAUAUCCCUCGUGGUUGACGGUACCGCUGGAGGAAGCCCCGGCUAACUCCGUGCCAGCAGCCGCGGUAAUACGGAGGGGGCUAGCGUUGUUCGGAAUCAUUGGGCGUAAAGGGCGCGUAGGCGGCCGAUCAAGUCGGAGGUGAAAUCCCUCGGCUCAACUGAGGAAUUGCCUCCGAUACUGUUCGGCUUGAGUCCUGGAGAGGGUAGUGGAAUUCCGAGUGUAGCGGUGAAAUGCGUAGAGACUCGGAAGAACACCAGUGGCGAAGGCGGCUACCUGGACAGGUACUGACGCUGAAGCGCGAAAGCUAGGGGAGCAAACAGGAUUAGAUACCCUAGUAGUCC